GUGGGGAAUAUUGGACAAUGGGGGGAACCCUGAUCCAGCCAUGCCGCGUGUGUGAAGAAGGCCUUUUGGUUGUAAAGCACUUUAAGCGAGGAGGAGGCUACCGAGAUUAAUACUCUUGGAUAGUGGACGUUACUCGCAGAAUAAGCACCGGCUAACUCUGUGCCAGCAGCCGCGGUAAUACAGAGGGUGCAAGCGUUAAUCGGAUUUACUGGGCGUAAAGCGCGCGUAGGUGGCCAAUUAAGUCAAAUGUGAAAUCCCCGAGCUUAACUUGUGAAUUGCAUUCGAUACUGGUUGGCUAGAGUAUGGGAGAGGAUGGUAGAAUUCCAGGUGUAGCGGUGAAAUGCGUAUAGAUCUGGAGGAAUACCGAUGGCGAAGGCAGCCAUCUGGCCUAAUACUGACACUGAGGUGCGAAAGCAUGGGGAGCAAACAGGAUUAGAUACCCUGGUAGUCC
rnacentral:rRNA from 1 species